UCUGAAAUGAAGUAGGACCACCCGCUGAACUUAAGCAUAUCAUUAAGCGGAGGAAAAGAAACUAACAAGGAUUCCCCUAGUACGGGCGACGGAAGCGGGAAAAGCCCACGCUGGUAAUCUGCGGGCGUUAGCUCGUCGAAUUGUAAUCUGAAGAUGGUUGGUCUAACGGAGUCGGGCGACGAAGUGUGCACGAGCGCGCCGCCAAAGAGGGUGAGAGCCCCGUAAGUUGCCAGACUCUACAAAGGCCGGUCGUCGAAGAGUCGUGUACUUUGAUACUAGUGCACCAAGCGGGAGAUAAACUUCUUCUAAGGCUAAAUAUAAGUAGGAAACCGAUAGCGAACAAGUACUGUGAAGGAAAGAUGAAAAGCACUUUGGAAAGAAAGUUAAAAGACUUGAAAUCGUUGAGGCGGACCCGGUAGAAAUGUAUUCUAGCGAAACUCCCUGGGAAGCCUGUACGCGGGUGUCUUGGGAGUUAGCCGAGGCAAGAUGGAGUCGCGCGAUGCUAGAGGCCGUGCAGGAGGUUCUUCGGAAAAGCCUGUGCAGGUUGAGUGUCGGGCGGCUUGAGGGGCUUAGAGCGAUCUUGUCAAAAUGGUUUUUACCGACUCGUCUUGUAACACGAACCAAGGAGUCUAAGACUAACGCGAGUAUGGUGGUGGAGAAACCAACAUGCGAAAUGAAAGUAAAUGAUGCCAAGACAACUGCAGCAUCGACCGACUUUUUUCUCUUGGAAGAGGUUUGAGUAAGAGCGUUAUUCUUAGGACCCGAAAGAUGGUGAACUAUGCCUGUGUAGGGUGAAGUCAGGGGAAACUCUGAUGGAAGCUCGUAGCGAUACUGACGUGCAAAUCGUUCGUCGAACAUGGGUAUAGGGGCGAAAGACUAAUCGAACCAUCUAGUAGCUGGUUCCCUCCGAAGUUUCCCUCAGGAUAGCUGGGACAAUCACGCAGUUUUAUUAGGUAAAGCGAAUGAUUAGAGGAAUCGGGGAUAAAAUGUCCUUGACCUAUUCUCAAACUUUAAAUUGGUAAGAACUCCCGUCUUCGCUUAAUUGAAGCAGGAGGUUCAAUGCGUGUCCUUAGUGGGCCAUUUUUGGUAAGCAGAACUGGCGAUGAGGGAUGCUCCUAACGUCUGGUUAAGGUGCCAAACUGCACGCUCAUCAGAAACUACAAAGGGUGUUAGUUCAUACAGACAGCAGGACGGUGGCCAUGGAAGUCGGAAUCCGCUAAGGAGUGUGUAACAACUCACCUGCCGAAUGAACUAGCCCUGAAAAUGGAUGGCGCUUCAGCGAAUCACUUAUACUAAACUAAUGUUUUUUUUUUUUUUAAGACAUUAAGUAGGAGGGCGUGGAGAUGGCGACGCAGCCUUUGGCGUGAGCUUGGGUGAAGCUGUCUCUAGUGCAGAUCUUGGUGGUAGUAGCAAGUAUUCAAAAGAGAUCUUUGAAGACUGAAGUGGAGAAAGGUUCCAUGUGAACAGUAAUUGGACAUGGGUGAGUCGAUCCUAAGAGAUAGGAAAAUUCUGUUUGAAUGUGGCCCUUUUCCGGAAGGGCCCGGCUAUCGAAAGGGAAUCGGGUUAAUAUUCCCGAACCAGGACGUGGAUAAUGAGUGGUAACACAAGCGAAAUCGGGGACGUUGGCGGGAGCCCCGGGAAGAGUUCUCUUUUCUUCUUAACAGUUCAGUGGACCUUGGAAUCGGAUUGCCCGGCGAUAAGGUUCAGUGGCUGGGAAAGCGGCACACUUUUUGUGCCGUCCGGUGCGCUUCCGACGACCCGUGAAAACCCGGUGG
rnacentral:rRNA from 1 species